UUAAAAUUUAAAAAAAAAAGAAGGAAAAAGCAAAGAAAGAAAGGAAAGGGAAAGGUGUGUUCUUCUUCUCACGCGCGUCGGCCCCCUCCGGACUUCUCGAUUUUUCUCGCGACCCAAUCUCCCUCCUCACGAUUUUUCCUUCCUUCUGCCGCCAACGACGCACGAGUCUACGGCAUCCCUCUCUAUCUCUUCACCACUCGAUUCGACUAGACGCCGCUGCACGAACCAACGCUGCGUCCCCACCAAUCACUGCUCAGAACGUGGUCGAUCUCGUCCUCACGUGAAGCGGCCAAUUCGUCAUCUAAACCGCGUCGUCCACCGCAAUUUUCAACCAGUCACCACCGUUCGGAUGAUCAAACCCUAGCAGUCGCCGCUCUCUUUGGCGUCACCUGGCUGUUCACGUCGUGGAUCGAACGUUGGAUCCCUGAAUUGGGGUGUUGGAUUUGGAUUCCUCGGAGGGUUUAGCUGCUAUCCAGUCGCAAGAAGAUUUGAAUUUGGGGGUUGGACAUAAUUUUGGCACCAUCUACCGUCGUCAGGGGGUUUCAGGGCUGAAAGAGGCCGUGGCUGGAGAUCCGAUAACCUGAGCCUAGGUGAGGAUGUGGUGGAGGAGUGUGAUAUGACUUCGAGCUAGUUUAACCCAUGAUAGGUGACUCUAUGUGCACAUAAGAGCGAAGAUGGAGGUGGAUAUUGUAGUAGGUGCUAAGUACGCGUGAGCUCCGUUUGACCAUGUGUUUCCUUGUGAAUAUGGAUCACGUGUGAGCUAUUCCGGGCGGUAUAUUUAGAAUGCUCUCAUGGUUGGAUUUAAGGGAUGAUGUUAUCGUGGUAGGUGCUAAGUAUGUGAGCUCCGUUUGGCCACGUGUUUCCUUGUGGAUAUGGAUCACGUGCGAGCUAUUUUGGGCCGUGUAUUUAGUAUGCUAUCUUGGUCAGAUUGGAUGAAUGUUGUUAUCGUGACGAACAUUAAAUAUGCAUGAGCUAGUUUUGGCUGCAUGAUUCUUUGAUCAUGUGUGAGCUAUUCUUCAUCGUAUAUCUAGGUGUCUUGCCAUGGUUGGAUCGACUACAGGUUUGUUGGUUGACUUGUAGAUUAUGUGGCGAUAAGUUUUUAAUCAAUAUUUUAUUUAUCGAUGUAUAUUUACACAUCUUGGACCCACACAUUAUCAAGAUAGAAACCAAAUUUGGUCUGAGUUGUCUCUUUUUUCA